rnacentral:rRNA from 1 species
GAUGAACGCUGGCGGCGUGCCUAAUACAUGCAAGUCGAGCGAACAGACGAGGAGCUUGCUCCUCUGACGUUAGCGGCGGACGGGUGAGUAACACGUGGAUAACCUACCUAUAAGACUGGGAUAACUUCGGGAAACCGGAGCUGAUACCGGAUAAUAUAUUGAACCGCAUGGUUCAAUAGUGAAAGACGGUUUUGCUGUCACUUAUAGAUGGAUCCGCGCCGCAUUAGCUAGUUGGUAAGGUAACGGCUUACCAAGGCAACGAUGCGUAGCCGACCUGAGAGGGUGAUCGGCCACACUGGGACUGAGACACGGUCCAGACUCCUACGGGAGGCAGCAGUAGGGAAUCUUCCGCAAUGGGCGAAAGCCUGACGGAGCAACGCCGCGUGAGUGAUGAAGGUCUUCGGAUCGUAAAACUCUGUUAUUAGGGAAGAACAAAUGUGUAAGUAACUAUGCACGUCUUGACGGUACCUAAUCAGAAAGCCACGGCUAACUACGUG